rnacentral:rRNA from 1 species
UACGUAGGGGGCAAGCGUUGUCCGGAAUCAUUGGGCGUAAAGAGCGCGUAGGCGGCCCUGUAAGUCCGCUGUGAAAGUCAAGGGCUCAACCCUUGGAUGCCGGUGGAUACUGCAGGGCUAGAGUCCGGAAGAGGCGAGUGGAAUUCCUGGUGUAGCGGUGAAAUGCGCAGAUAUCAGGAGGAACACCGAUGGCGAAGGCAGGUCUCUGGGCAGUUACUGACGCUGAGGAGCGAAAGCAUGGGGAGCGAACAGG